GACAAGAUUUACAGUCCACAGAAAAGUCUGAGAAAAGCCUGAUUGAUUUUGAUCUGCUGAAUAAUUAACACACAAGUGAGAGACAAAAAGCCACCAACAGGCGUCUUGAUCCACAACAGUUGUUAAGGAGCAUCCUUACAGUGCAGCUAAUAGGAAGCAAGUCAAAGAGGACAGCUGGUCAUAACCAUAAGGAACUCAGGGCAGCAGCUGAACAUGUACUGGAAGCCAUUUCCUGAGACAGUCACACCCCUCCCAUCACAGAUCCAUACCAGAAGUUUCUCAAUGGACCAGAAGCAGCUGAAGACAGACAAGUGUGAAUAUAAACCUAUGCUGGGUGUUGCAUUUGGCAGAUUUAAAGGCAAGAGCAAGCAUCAGUUUUCAUGCAAAAAGGCUCCACCCACACCCUAA